rnacentral:rRNA from 1 species
UACGGAGGGUGCGAGCGUUGUUCGGCAUCAUGGGGCGUAAAGCGCGUGUAGGCGGCUUGGCAAGUCGGGUGUGAAAUCCCGGGGCCCAACCCCGGAACUGCAUUCGAAACUGCCUCGCUAGAGUCCCGGAGAGGAAGGCGGAAUUCCCGGUGUAGAGGUGAAAUUCGUAGAUAUCGGGAGGAACACCAGCGGCGAAGGCGGCCUUCUGGACGGUGACUGACGCUGAGACGCGAAAGCGUGGGGAGCAAACAGG